GAUGAACGCUGGCGGCGUGCCUAAUACAUGCAAGUCGAGCGGACAGAUGAGGAGCUUGCUCCUCUGACGUUAGCGGCGGACGGGUGAGUAACACGUGGAUAACCUACCUAUAAGACUGGGAUAACUUCGGGAAACCGGAGCUAAUACCGGAUAAUAUAUUGAACCGCAUGGUUCAAUAGUGAAAGACGGUUUUGCUGUCACUUAUAGAUGGAUCCGCGCCGCAUUAGCUAGUUGGUAAGGUAACGGCUUACCAAGGCAACGAUGCGUAGCCGACCUGAGAGGGUGAUCGGCCACACUGGAACUGAGACACGGUCCAGACUCCUACGGGAGGCAGCAGUAGGGAAUCUUCCGCAAUGGGCGAAAGCCUGACGGAGAAACGCCGCGUGAGUGAUGAAGGUCUUCGGAUCGUAAAACUCUGUUAUUAGGGAAGAACAAAUGUGUAAGUAACUAUGCACGUCUUGACGGUACCUAAUCAGAAAGCCACGGCUAACUACGUG
rnacentral:rRNA from 1 species